rnacentral:ribozyme from 1 species
ACGGGGGAGUGAAGGGCCCGGCCCCGUCCGGAGGCGAUGGUCCGAUCCCGGCUGCUUCUGCGAUCUCUCCGACUAGCAGCGCGACUGAGACGAAGCUGGUUGAGUUGAAGGCCGCGAGUGCGAUCCAAGCACUGGAGUUCCUUGAGAAGGGUCGAAUCGUCAGUGCAAAGGAAGCGAAAGAGCUCGCCUCAGUCGCUGUGGAGGAGGGCGAGGGGGAAGGAUCUUCGCACCCCCCCAUGCAGGGGG